CAUGUUUCAAUGUUUGACUAAUCUGACCACUCUUCAUUACGAAUCAAAUUUCUCAUUGUACAGAAUUCAAAAUAUGUUCUUGUUUAUUUUAUUAGAAACUAGACUCAAUAAGAUUUAAUUACAUAAUUUAUUCAGCUUCUAAUUCAUCUCCCACAAUUUAUGGUGAUUUUCCAAAGUCACGUUACUGCUGCUGUCCCAAGCAGAUUUUUUACCAAAUCACUCUUUCACACAUACCUUGCAUGCUUGUUAUUUAAACAUGUAUAUCACCAAUCGAUCAUCACAUAUCUAUGAUUUUAUUUAAGUACAAUCUCCAUUUCAUCAUUUUAAAGCACAACACGUUAGCUGAUUUUUCCCUUUAACAUCUAAGGCACAUGCAUGCUUAUUUGUUUGGCUCAACUUCACCUAUCUUCUAUUUUUCAUCAAAAGAACAUGAAACAACAACCAUUUCCUUCAUUUUAAUUCAUGACUAAAUGCUCACAACACAACUAAAAAUCAAAAUAUACUUCAAGAGUUAAGGUAAAAUCAAGAAGAACUAAUGAACCUCAAAAUAGAAGCAAGGUACCAAGAACUUACCGUCAACUUUCCUCCUCCUAAUGACCAAAUACUCAAGAGCUUUCUCCUCUCCUUUCUCUUCUCUAACUUUCAGCUAUGAUGAACAAAGAUGGACAAAACUUUGUUCUUUUCACCCCUUUUUCUUUUAAUAAAACUUCAUAUUUCAUCCAUUUAAUUCUUUAAUACAAAAGACAUGAAAUUCUUAUCAUGAAACAUUUACCUAACCCAUUAUCAUGAAACAUUUACCUAACCCAUUAUCAUGGAACAUUUACCUAACCUAUUAUCAUUGAACAUUUACCUAACCUAUUAUCAAUUUGUAUCAAUUUGUACCAUAAAUUAUGGAUAUCAAGUGUACAUUUUGUCUACAACAACAUGAUGGCUGGCCACUUCAUGUAAAAUGGGAGGUUUGUCAUGCAAAUCCUCCUAUUUUGCACUCUUAUUUAUUUGGCCACUUCAAUUUAGCCUAUAACAUUUUCAAACAUUUUCACAUAGGUCCUAUUUCAUAAUUUCACCCCGUUUUUCUUAUGGAACAAAAAUUAACUAAAAUUGUCGGGUUCUAUCUUAAGCUUGGGCUUUCUAGAGGCCCACUAACAUAAUUAAACCUAUGCCAACAUUCACAGGAUUCCCGAAAAUUGGGGCGUUACAACUUUACCCUCCUUAAAGAAAUUUCGUCCUCGAAAUUUACCUAUACCAAACAGAUGAGGGUAUUGCUAUUGCAUCGUCUCUUAUGGCUCCCAAACUCAGAAGUUUCCCCUUCCUUAACUUGUUGAAAACGAGUGACCAAAGACUCAUCGUUCAACUGUUUUUCCUUAAUCUGAUCUACCUAGGUUGGCCUCACUUGCAACUCAGCCAACAGACUUCUAUCAUCAUACAGACUCAGACGAGCAAACAUUGCUCUCAGAUCAGAUACAGCUCUACGACUUAGAGCAUCGGCUACCACAUUAGCCUUGCUUGGGUGAUACUCAAUCGAACAGUCAUAAUCCUUAAGCAACUCAAUCCAUCUCCUUUGCCUAAGGUUCAACUCCUUCUGAGUCAACAAAUACAAGACUCUUAUGGUCAGUGUACAUAAUACACCUUUCUCCGCACAAGUAAUGUCUCCAAAUCUUAAGUGCAAUUAUCACUGCUGCCAACUCUAAAUCAUGAGUCAAAUAGUUUCCCUUAUGAGGCUUAAGCUAUCAUGAUGCACAUGCAACCACCUUGCCCUCUUGCAUUAACACGCAGCCCAAACCCACGUGUGAUGCGUCACUAUACACAGUAAAAUCAUUCCCAGACUCCGGCUGAAUUAACACAAGUGCUUCAAUUAGAACUUUCUUCAACUUCUCAAAAGCUUUCUGCUGUUUCUUAGUCCAUACAAAUGGUACUCCUUUCCUUAUGUGUUUUGUCAGAGGUGCUGGCAUCACAGAAAAACCUUCCACAAACCUUCUGUAGUAUCUUGCCAGUCCUAGGAAACUCCGUAUUUCCGACACUGACCUAGGCGGCUUCCAUUCCAAAAUCACUUCAAUUUUCCGAGGGUCCACUUUAAUCCCCUCAGCAGAGACCACAUGUCCUAAGAAAGUUACCUCCCUCAACCAAAAUUCACACUUGCUAAACUUCACAAAGUGUUCCUUCUCCCUUAAUACUUACAGCACUAUACGGAGAUGCUCAUCAUGUUUCGUUUUAGUUUCAGAAUAUACCAGGAUAUCGUCAAUAAAGACGACUACAAUUGAUCUAAAAAUGGUUGGAACACAUGAUUCAUCAGAUCCAUAAACGCUGCAGGAGCGUUCGUUAGUCCAAAUGGCAUAACCAGAAACUCGUAAUGACCAUACCGAGUCCUGAAUGUCGUCUUUUGGAUGUCUGCCUCCUUGACCCUUAACUAAUGAUAUCCAGAUCGAAGGUCGAUCUUGGAAAAUAAAGAAGCUCCUCUAAGCUGGUCGAAUAGAUCGUCAAUCCUUGGCAGUGGAUACUUAUUCUUAAUCGUCAGUUUGUUCAACUGGCGAUAAUCAAUGCACAUCCGCAUCGUACCAUCAUUCUUUUUCACGAAUAGCACUGGUGCUCCCCAUGGAGACACGCUUGGCCUAAUAAAGCCCCUAUCCAACAACUCUUGAAUUUGAGCAUUUAACUCUACUAACUCCUUCGGUGCCAUCCUAUACGGUGCGAUAGACACAGACGCCAUUCCAGGCAACAAGUCUAUUCCAAACUCAACUUCUCGAUUCGGAGGCAAUCUUGGAAGCUCCUCCGGAAAAACAUCUUGGAACUCCUUUAUGGUCCUAACCUUAUCCACUGUCAGUCCCUCCUCUUCCGACUGACUUACAAAUACCAAUUAGGCCUCACAACCUUUCCAAAUCCACUUUUCGGCUCUUAAUGCCGACACCACAUUGGACAAAUAAUCCCUUCUCUCACCUAUCACCAUAACCUCCUCAUCCUUUGUAGUUCUUAACAUCAUUCGUUUAGCAGCACAAUCCAGAGUCGCCUUAUGCUUAACAAGCCAAUCCAUUCCCAGAAUGAGGUCAAACUCUCUGAACGGUAACUCCAUCAGAUCUCCAAGAAAAACCUUGCCUUGAGUUUCUAAGGGUACAUUCCUAUACAGUUUGUCUACCCUAAUCGAGUGACCCAAGGGACUUAGUACAGAUACCCCACUCACAAUCUCCUCAGAGCAGUCCAAGUUGUCCAUAAUUCGUUCUGUGGCCUCUAACCAAUAUUCUGCCACAUUCGGGGCUAUACCAGACACACCCUUAAAGAUCUCCGUUCCAUUAGUCCCGAAGUCAUUCAGAAAUAGAUCCCUAAUUUUGUUGCCCGAACUUGCUCCGGCAACCCUUUCCAGAACACGAAGCAUUGUCUGUGACAAGGCAUCAUCCUCGGCGGCCCGAUCAUAUGGCCCAUUCUCAUCCGUCGGUGGUGGUCGUGCUACUCCAGUGGGUAUGUGUUCAGAAGGCAAAGAUCCAGCUUGAGUACUACCUCGGCCUCGACCACGGCCUCUUCCCCGAGUAGCUCUCGUACUCAUAUCGAUUUAUCUUGAUUACGAAUUUUUAUGCAUCAAUUCAAUAUUCCAGUGUUUAUUACAGAUGUUUUAUGAAUCAGACAGUAAUUCAAAGUUUAUUUUCGCAGAAUCGAAGUCUAGCUACAGUUUCAGUCUCUUAUCAGAUUUUCCUAUGGUUUCAGAAUCAUCCUAUCUAGAGUAUCCUAGUAGGGUUUCAGUACAGAUAGAUAAUUCAGAAAAAUAUUCAGAAGAGUUCAGAGUAAUACUUACAGGCUUGAGCUGGAGAUUCAGAAUGCCACCUUCUAAAGAUCUAAAUUUUAAAAAUCGAGUUUUUCGCAUUCUUUAUAAAAUUUUCGCUUUCGAAAAUCUUUGUUUUUGUAACCCAUUCCACAGUCGAGUUGUUGCAACCUAGGCUCUGAUACCACUAAAUGUAGCACCCCAAACCCGACCCAGAAGUUAUGGCCGGAUCCGGCAUGCCACAUCAGAAACGUAAAAAAACAUUUCCAUUCUAAGUCCAGAAAAUCGUACUUGAUGUUCAAAAGAUUAAUUCAUUAAAGGUUAAAGUGAAUGGAAGCUGUGCACCAGGUAGGAAACCGGAAAAGAGGUGGUGAGUCCAUCGGACUGCUUAAGUACUAAGCUCCCUUCGGAUCCAAUCCUAGACAUGCAUACCGCCAUUGCCACACUUUAACGUCAUGGAUAUUUCUAGGAAACCGAUUUGAUUAAGUCAUUUUUAGGAAAAGUGAUUAAUUUUAGAAAAUACUUUCAUUGCGGAAGCUUUGCUUGUUGUCGUGUUAUUUUGAAAUCAACUGUUGUUUUUGAAAAUGCGCCCUAAAGCUAUCCAAUUUCAACAGUUAAAAUAAGUAUUACCUAUCUUAGUAAUACAUAUAAAAAAAACAUCAAAAAUAAAUAAGCGGCCUUAUUACAUUUAAAAACCCAAAACUUCAAACGUAAAUAAAAGGAUGUCCAGUUCACCAGAAGAAAAUCAAACUUUCAGAACAGGUGGCCACCCCGAAUUCCCUCACAGCUCCAAGCCCACUAUGGUUGGGGAUUACCUGCGUGGAUGAAAAUAAAAGGGGUGAGUUUGGGGAAACUCAGUGUGUAAAUUAACCCAACCAUAGCCUAUAUCAGCUUAAACCACAGAAAUAGAAUAAGUUGGCCUUAGCCCAGAACAGAAUUCAAAAUAAAUCCCAUAGGCCCAUAACAGAACAGAACAGAUAUUACAUGUUUAUGCAGAAACCCAACCAUAUCCAACCGUAUACACCCCCGUACCAACCUUACACCGUGUGGGGAGACAACUCGACCCACCCAACCGCUACACACCACAGAAUUUGCAGCAUGGCUGCUAGAACAGAUAAUGUGACAGUGUCACCAGAUACAGAUAAUCGUGGCAGAGCCGCCAGAACAGAUAUAUGUGGCAGAGCCACCAGAUCAGAUAUUUGUGGCAUAGCCACCAGAAUGCUUCCUCCAUAAUAUAACCCAUGUCCCCAUGCAAUAGAUAUAUAAUCAUGGCAUACAUCAUACAGAAUCAGAUCGUCAUGCUUUUCAGUCAAAAUUAACCCUAGGGGUAUAACGGUAAUUUUGCACCUAGGGGUAUAACAGUAAUUUUCCAUACAUAGGGGUAUUAUAGUAAUUUAGCUACUUUUAGGAUUUUCAUGCAUAUCCUAACUAUUUACGUACUAUCAGAACACUUACCGCACAUACUUACUGAAUUAGGCCCGUUGGCCCAUGAACCCGAUCUUUGGCCCAUUAAGCCCAAAUUAUCAAAAUGUACGAAAUCGCGCGUACUGCAGUUUAUUAAUUUAGAUUACCAAAUAUACAAACCCAACUAUCUUACGAGCAUUCGCACACUCGCAAAUUCCCAAAAUACUGACUUUUCGGCUUUUUGGCUUUUGCCAAUCUAGUCCAUGAGAGGGUGUCAGUUACACACCUGUUUGCGACGAUAUGCUGACGAGAUCCACACACGAACCGCCUACAAUUGGAUUACUAACACGUUAAUCUAACUAUUCAAAUACGAACUACGUAUUAACCCCUUACAAUAUUCGGCCAACCACACCUACAGAUCAUAGUAAGCUUAUAAGAAAUCAAGAAGCAACUCAUUAACAAAUUUUUGUCAAUGUUUACCACAUAAUCAUAAUUUCACUGCAAGUUGUCUUCCUGAGCAACAGUCACUAAAUUAUUUAUAACUGGAACUACGAAACUCCAAAUCAAGUGCCGUUAAUUUUCCCUGAAAAUAGACUCAUAUAUCUUUUAUCCAUAAAAUUUUCAGAAUUUUUGGUAUGACCAAUCAAUACCAUAUUUUUCUUAAAGUUUCCCAUGUUUCACUAUUUGACUAAUCUGACCACUCUUCAUUACGAAUCAAAUUUCUCAUUGUACAGAAUUCAAAAUAUGUUCUUGUUUAUUUCAUUAGAAACUAGACUCAAUAAGCUUUAAUUACAUAAUUUAUUCAGCUUCUAAUUCAUCUCCCACAAUUUAUGGUGAUUUUCCAAAGUCACGUUACUGCUGCUGUCCCAAGCAGAUUUUUUACCAAAUCACUCUUUCACACAUACCUUGCAUGCUUGUUAUUUAAACAUGUAUAUCACCAAUCAAUCAUCACAUAUCUAUGAUUUUAUUUAAGUAUAAUCUCCAUUUCAUCAUUUUAAAGCACAACACGUUAGCUGAUUUUUCCCUUUAACAUCUAAGGCACAUGCAUGCUUAUUUGUUUGGCUCAACUUCACCUAUCUUCCAUUUUUCAUCAAAAGAACAUGAAACAACAACCAUUUCCUUCAUUUUAAUUCAUGACUAAAUGCUCACAACACAACUAAAAAUCAAAAUAUACUUCAAGAGUUAAGGUAAAAUCAAGAAGAACU
rnacentral:lncRNA from 1 species